rnacentral:rRNA from 1 species
GAUGAACGCUGGCGGCGUGCCUAAUACAUGCAAGUCGAGCGAACAGACGAGGAGCUUGCUCCUCUGACGUUAGCGGCGGACGGGUGAGUAACACGUGGAUAACCUACCUAUAAGACUGGGAUAACUUCGGAAAACCGGAGCUAAUACCGGAUAACAUGUUGAACCGCAUGGUUCAACAGUGAAAGACGGUCUUGCUGUCACUUAUAGAUGGAUCCGCGCCGCAUUAGCUAGUUGGUAAGGUAACGGCUUACCAAGGCAACGAUGCGUAGCCGACCUGAGAGGGUGAUCGGCCACACUGGAACUGAGACACGGUCCAGACUCCUACGGGAGGCAGCAGUAGGGAAUCUUCCGCAAAGGGCGAAAGCCUGACGGAGCAACGCCGCGUGAGUGAAGAAGGUCUUCGGAUCGUAAAACUCUGUUAUUAGGGAAGAACAAAUGUGUAAGUAACUAUGCACGUCUUGACGGUACCUAAUCAGAAAGCCACGGCUAACUACGUG